UACGUAGGGGGCAAGCGUUGUCCGGAUUUAUUGGGCGUAAAGAGCGUGUAGGCGGUUUGGUAGGUCCGCUGUGAAAACUCGAGCUCAACCUCGAGACGCCGGUGGAAACCAUCAGACUAGAGUCCGGAAGAGGAGAGUGGAAUUCCUGGUGUAGCGGUGAAAUGACGCAGAUAUCAGGAAGAACACCCGUGGCUAAGGCGGCUCUCUAGUACGGUACUGACGCUGAGACGCGAAAGCGUGGGGAGCGAACAGG
rnacentral:rRNA from 1 species